rnacentral:rRNA from 1 species
AAUCAACGCUGGCGGCGUGCCUAACACAUGCAAGUCGAACGCGAAAGCCCCGCAAGGGGUGAGUAGAGUGGCAAACGGGUGAGUAACACGUGGGUGAUCUGCCUCAGAGUGGGGAAUAACGACCCGAAAGGGUCGCUAAUACCGCAUAACAUCCUGCCUUUGGAUAGGUGGCGAUCAAAGUUGGGGAUCCGCAAGGACCUGACGCUUAGAGAGGAGCCCGCGGCCGAUUAGCAGUUGGUGAGGUAACGGCUCACCAAGGCAACGAUCGGUAUCCGGCCUGAGAGGGCGGACGGACACACUGGGACUGAGACACGGCCCAGACUCCUACGGGAGGCAGCAGUGGGGAAUUGUUCGCAAUGGGCGCAAGCCUGACGACGCAACGCCGCGUGGAGGACGAAGAUUUUCGGAUCGUAAACUCCUUUCGAUCGGGAANAACAGCUCAUAGGUUAAUAGCCUGAGAGUCUGACGGUACCGAGAGAAGAA